rnacentral:rRNA from 1 species
AACGAACGCUGGCGGCAGGCUUCAUACAUGCAAGUCGAACGGCCCGCAAGGGCAGUGGCGCACGGGUGCGUAACACGUGGGAAUAUGCCCUUCAGUACGGAACAACGUCGGGAAACUGACGCUAAUACCGUAUAAUGUCUCCGGACCAAAGAUUUAUCGCUGAAGGAUUAGCCCGCGUCUGAUUAGGUAGUUGGAGAGGUAAUGGCUCACCAAGCCGACGAUCAGUAGCUGGUCUGAGAGGAUGAUCAGCCACACUGGGACUGAGACACGGCCCAGACUCCAACGGGAGGCAGCAGUAAGGAAUAUUGGACAAUGGGGGAAACCCUGAUCCAGCCAUGCCGCGUGAGUGAAGAAGGCCUUCGGGUUGUAAAGCUCUUUUACCCCUGACGAUAAUGACGGUAAGGGGAGAAAAAGCCACGGCUAACUUCGUGCCAGCCGCCGCGGUAA